rnacentral:lncRNA from 1 species
AUAUUCCUCUUGACCACUCGGUUGACAGUGCUGACAUGGCAUUUAGCAAAUGCUCAUUUAAAAAACUAGAAAUGGGGAAGUGACGAAAAUUGGUGCAUUCAUUUUAACUUCAAAUAGCGUAAAUUGGAUGAAAGGAUUUUCCCCAAAUUGAGCAAGCAAACCCUCUUGGAAAGCGAUUUCUUCGGUGGCGGAGCCAUUUGUUAACUAUUCGCAUGUAUUGAACUUCUUCAACACCGAUGCCUUCGUCUCCGACGAGAUCUAUUGCAAAUUGUGGGUGAGUUGUUUAUUUUGCUAAGUUGAGGGGGGAUUGAAGAAGUAGAAAAAAUAUGGAAGAACAAUGAAGUGAAAAUGUUACCAUUGUAUUGGUGGUGUAGAAAAUCAAUAAUGGUGGGUUUGGUUUGUGAAGGGUAAUGGUAUGUCGAAUCUGAAAAUGAGCUUCAAAUUUGUGGGUUUCAUUGGUUAAUUUUUUCUUAUUGGUAAGUUAUUUGUUUUGCAAAACGCCAUUAUGUUAACAGAGUUGAAAGUGGUUGAAGAAGUAGAAUGAUAUGUAAGAACAAUGAAUUGAAAAUGUUACCACUGAUUUGGUGAUGUAUAAAAUCAAUGUUGGUGUGUUUCGUUUGUGAAGGGUAAUGGUAUGUUGAAUCUGAAAAUGACCUUCAAAUUUGGUAGAUUUUAUUGGUUAAUUUUUUCUUAUUGGAAAUGGGGUUUGCUCAUGUGAAAAUGAGCUUCGAAAGAUGAUUGCUUCAUUUGAAGUUCAGAAAAUAUGGUAAUUAGAAUCAUUAACUCUUCAAGAGUCUGAGUCGACUGUUGCUCAUCCUCAUAUGUUACGAAUUGGGAACGAUUAACAUUUUUGAAUUUUACUGCAAAAUCAUGUAACGUGACUGCAUUCUUACCUUCAUUUGUUUUACUGCAUAUGCAUUUUUGUUGCUAAUUUUUUGGUUGAUCCCCAUUUAAGAAUAGCAGAAAAGAAUCGUGGCAUAUGCCAUAGUUGUAGGUCUACAGAGCACUUGUUUACGGAUUGCCAAAACAAGCGAGUAUAUACGUGGUGUCAACAUGCAUUCGUUAAGUGCUUUGAGGUGGAGAAGGCGUCGAAGAACAAAGGUAAGUUGUUCAAAUGUUGUGAAACUAACUGUGGAUACUGGAAGUGGCUUGGGGAUGGUGAAUCCAGCGGCAACUCAAGUACGAGUACAGUUAAGGUGACUACUCCUACGAUGAAGAAAGCAAUCCGAGAUGUAUCUGGCAUGUUGUAAUCUCUACUUCAGUUAAACGAUGAACAAGAAAUGAAUAUUUCUUUGAAUCUUACAAUCUGCAAAGGUAAAGUAAGCAGCAAAGGGGUCAGAAAGGAAAGGAAAGAGCCCAGCUUGAUUAUAAUGUAUAAAUCGAGCCUGUUGUGUAACUUAUGCUAGUAUGUGGAUUGUGUAAGUUGUAUGUUGAUGCUAUGUAUGCUGUGGUCUAUAAAUGUACCCCCUAUUUUAUUAAACUUGUUGUUCUAUACAUACUUCUUGUUCACAAAUAACAUAUAUAGACAUGAU